GUGCCACCUUGCCCGGCCUCAACAGCACAUAGACUAAAACUGAAAAAAUACAGAGAUGAUUAGCAGGGCGCCUGUGUAAGGAUGACACGCAAAUUGAUGAAGCAUUCCAGAUCUUU
rnacentral:snRNA from 1 species